rnacentral:rRNA from 1 species
AUGAUGAAGUAUGAGGCUAUGACUGACUCCCACUUCGAGAAUCUAUACAAGUACAGAGAGACAUGGGUACCCUGCUGCUUCAAGCACCAAUUCUUCCCUUUCUUGCAGUCAACUCAACGCAGUGAGGGGUUCAACGCUGUCCUUAAGCAAUAUGUGAACCCACACAAGUCCAUUUUGAACUUUGUGAAGCAAUAUCAGAAAAUCCAAACACACAUACUAGUCCGGGGGGUUCAAAAGACUACAGGACAGGACAUUUACAGACUGAAAUGUGGUCAUCUUACCCAAUAG